CGCUCUUCAGUCAAGCUAAAUCAAAGCUAAUUAAUUGGUCUAUUGACAUAAAAAUAAUCAGCAGUUGUUCAGGCGUAUUUGUGUACUCACAUCCUCUCAUUUCAUCCUUUCCUUUUUUGUUGUGUAUUGAGGAGUUUGAGGCGAUUUGGUAGAAUUAAUUAAGAACUAAUUCUUAACAACAAUCAACCUUAAGGAUAAGUCACCAACAACAUAUUUAGUUCAUUAUAAACUGACUUUUACAAGUCAAAGACAAUGUUUUAUAUAAUGUUUUGCAGAGGUUGCUUAAAAAGAAUCAUGUUUUGUUUUCGACCUCCACCUCCCGGGUCCAUCUUGGCUGCGCACCAGCAGGCUGGCAUCACUGGCCAUGUCCUAGAACCAGUGCCAUCAGGAAAUCAGAAUGAGGUUACACACAAACCGCAGCAGACAGACGCAUCAAAGAAGCAUUUAGGCGCCAACAGGAAACAAGACAUCACAUCUAAGGCUGUUUAUUAGGCUGAAUAAUUGCUCAAAUGCCAUCGGGCCGCUGUCAGGAGGAGGCGCGUGUAUCCUUCCAUCUAAUGUUGCCACAGUAACGGCGCCCUAAUCGCUUUCAUCCUGCCGGCAUGACGCUGCCAGCCCUGAAACACACACACGCACGCACGCACGCGCAGUGAGCAGCCGCUGGUUUCCCGGCAGAGCUGCCUCAGCGUCUCUUCAAGGUGCCACGCGAUGAUUGGCUGACACACGUGGACUUCGACUCAACGCGCCCUCCUAUUGGCUGCUGCACCCCGCUGGCCAGCCUUCCGGAGGAGACAUC